UAGGGAAUCUUCGGCAAUGGACGAAAGUCUGACCGAGCAACGCCGCGUGAGUGAAGAAGGUUUUCGGAUCGUAAAACUCUGUUGUUAGAGAAGAACAAGGACGUUAGUAACUGAACGUCCCCUGACGGUAUCUAACCAGAAAGCCACGGCUAACUACGUGCCAGCCGCCGCGGUAAUACGUAGGUGGCAAGCGUUGUCCGGAUUUAUUGGGCGUAAAGCGAGCGCAGGCGGUUUCUUAAGUCUGAUGUGAAAGCCCCCGGCUCAACCGGGGAGGGUCAUUGGAAACUGGGAGAAUUGAGUGCAGAAGAGGAGAGUGGAAUUCCAUGUGUAGCGGUGAAAUGCGUAGAUAGAUGGAGGAACACCAGUGGCGAAGGCGGCUCUCUGGUCUGUAACUGACGCUGAGGCUCGAAAGCGUGGGGAGCAAACAGG
rnacentral:rRNA from 1 species